UUAGUGAAUGGCUCAGAUGCAAUGCAUUGAUGUUGGGCUCCUCGUUCAGCAAAGUAAUCACCCCUUUUGCAGCAUUCGUGCUACGGAACCUACCAUUAAGUCAACUCAUUACUUUGCCCCAGUUCAUUAAGCACCGAUAUACUGCUACUCAGCUUGUCUGAAUGGAUAUUUGGAAAGAGUUAAAGUCCAGUGAGAUAUAAAGAGUAAUGCGCUGAAGCCGUAAAUGCUUGAAGUGUUGAAGUGUGGAAGUCUCAAAGAAGAGGGGCUGGGUAUUUUUUUUAUUUUUAUAUAUUUUUA